GACGAACGCUGGCGGCGUGCCUAAUACAUGCAAGUCGAACGCGUCUACGUUAAUGAAAUCAAUGUGCUUGCACGGCGAUGGAUUUAACAUUAGACGAGUGGCGAACUGGUGAGUAACACGUGGGUAACCUGCCCUCAAGCAGGGGAUAACACUUGGAAACAGGUGCUAAUACCGUAUAACAACAAAAACCGCAUGGUUUUUGUUUGAAAGAUGGUUUCGGCUAUCACUUGAGGAUGGACCCGCGGCGUAUUAGCUAGUUGGUGAGGUAAUGGCUCACCAAGGCAAUGAUACGUAGCCGACCUGAGAGGGUAAUCGGCCACAUUGGGACUGAGACACGGCCCAAACUCCUACGGGAGGCAGCAGUAGGGAAUCUUCGGCAAUGGACGCAAGUCUGACCGAGCAACGCCGCGUGAGUGAAGAAGGUUUUCGGAUCGUAAAGCUCUGUUGUUAGAGAAGAACAAGUAAGAUAGUAACUGAUCUUGCCUUGACGGUAUCUAACCAGAAAGCCACGGCUAACUACGUGCCAGCAGCCGCCGUAACAC
rnacentral:rRNA from 1 species